AGGGGAUGCUACUCUAAUAGAGCUGCUUCCCGGGAGUUGCAUCCCUCGAGGGGCUUCUUAGCGAGAGAGUGAGCCCAAGGGGAGGGUGGACAGGCCCUGUCCUCCAGGAAUCCUGUCCCGCAGAGCCCCGCAAGCUCCGGGAUGCAGGUGGGGGUAGGGAGCGGCACCCGGAGACGGGGCGGGACGGCCCGAGGAGGAAUCCAAGAGGAGGGCUUAGGAGUUCGGCUCCUCCCUCGAGGCUGCCCCACUCCCACCCCAGCAGCUCCAGGGCUGGAGAAACGAAGCAGGGAAAUGCCCUGGGAGACCCUGGGAGUCAGUGUGAGGCUUGAGGUCCUGCCAGCCCCUUUCUCUGCCUGACCAGAUUGGAACCUGAAGUCUCCAGAUCCGAAACUCUGCCAUAACUCUCACUCUGGCUGUGCUUGUGGGACAUGAUUUUGAGAAGGAAAAUAAAUGAAAUAGAAGGCGGAGAGAUCCUUCAGGAGGCAAGAAGCAAGAGGAGACAGUGCCCUGUGUCCAGCACAAUGGCAAGAAGAAGAGGAAAGGAAAUCCAAGUAUGUAGUAGGUGCUGUCACUGAAUGAG